rnacentral:rRNA from 1 species
CUAGGAUUAGAUACCCUAUUAUUAAAAUUUAAAUUGAAAAUACUAAAAUAGUAGAUAAUUAUUUAUUGAAACUUAAAUAAUUUGGCGGUAUUUUAGUUCAUUUAGAGGAAUCUGUUUAAUAAUUGAUAAUCCACGAAUAAAUUUACUUAAUUUUUUAUUUUGUAUAUCGUUGUUAAAAAAAUAUUUUUUAAUAAUAAUAAUAUUUAAAAAUUUUGAUUAAAAAUUAAAUCAGAUCAAGAUGCAGAUUAUAAUUAAGAAUAUAAUGGAUUACAAUAAAUUUAUUUAGAUAAAGAUUAAUUUGUAAAA